GACGAACGCUGGCGGCGUGCCUAAUACAUGCAAGUAGAACGCUGAAGCGAGGAGCUUACUCUUCUUGGAUGAGUUGCGAACGGGUGAGUAACGCGUAGGUAACCUGCCUUGUAGCGGGGGAUAACUAUUGGAAACGAUAGCUAAUACCGCAUAACAAUGGAUGACACAUGUCAUUUAUUUGAAAGGGGCAAUUGCUCCACUACAAGAUGGACCUGCGUUGUAUUAGCUAGUAGGUGAGGUAAUGGCUCACCUAGGCGACGAUACAUAGCCGACCUGAGAGGGUGAUCGGCCACACUGGGACUGAGACACGGCCCAGACUCCUACGGGAGGCAGCAGUAGGGAAUCUUCGGCAAUGGGGGCAACCCUGACCGAGCAACGCCGCGGGAGGGAAGAAGGUUUUCGGAUCGGAAAGCUCUGUUGUAAGUCAAGAACGGGUGUGAGAGUGGAAAGUUCACACUGUGACGGUAGCUUACCAGAAAGGGACGGCUAACUACGUG
rnacentral:rRNA from 1 species